GUGGAUCCUGAGUACGACGGAGCACGUGAAAUUCCGUCGGAAUCUGGGAGGACCAUCUCCUAAGGCUAAAUACUCUCUAGUGACCGAUAGUGAACCAGUACCGUGAGGGAAAGGUGAAAAGCACCCCGGAAGGGGAGUGAAAUAGAACCUGAAACCGUGUGCUUACAAGUAGUCAGAGCCCGUUAAUGGGUGAUGGCGUGCCUUUUGUAGAAUGAACCGGCGAGUUACGAUUUGAUGCAAGGUUAAGCAGUAAAUGUGGAGCCGUAGCGAAAGCGAGUCUGAAUAGGGCGUUUAGUAUUUGGUCGUAGACCCGAAACCAGGUGAUCUACCCUUGGUCAGGUUGAAGUUCAGGUAACACUGAAUGGAGGACCGAACCGACUUACGUUGAAAAGUGAGCGGAUGAACUGAGGGUAGCGGAGAAAUUCCAAUCGAACCUGGAGAUAGCUGGUUCUCUCCGAAAUAGCUUUAGGGCUAGCCUCAAGUGAUGAUUAUUGGAGGUAGAGCACUGUUUGGACGAGGGGCCCCUCUCGGGUUACCGAAUUCAGACAAACUCCGAAUGCCAAUUAAUUUAACUUGGGAGUCAGAACAUGGGUGAUAAGGUCCGUGUUCGAAAGGGAAACAGCCCAGACCACCAGCUAAGGUCCCAAAAUAUAUGUUAAGUGGAAAAGGAUGUGGCGUUGCCCAGACAACUAGGAUGUUGGCUUAGAAGCAGCCAUCAUUUAAAGAGUGCGUAAUAGCUCACUAGUCGAGUGACACUGCGCCGAAAAUGUACCGGGGCUAAACAUAUUACCGAAGCUGUGGAUUGUCCUUUGGACAAUGGUAGGAGAGCGUUCUAAGGGCGUUGAAGCAUGAUCGUAAGGACAUGUGGAGCGCUUAGAAGUGAGAAUGCCGGUGUGAGUAGCGAAAGACGGGUGAGAAUCCCGUCCACCGAUUGACUAAGGUUUCCAGAGGAAGGCUCGUCCGCUCUGGGUUAGUCGGGUCCUAAGCUGAGGCCGACAGGCGUAGGCGAUGGAUAACAGGUUGAUAUUCCUGUACCACCUAUAAUCGUUUUAAUCGAUGGGGGGACGCAGUAGGAUAGGCGAAGCGUGCGAUUGGAUUGCACGUCUAAGCAGUAAGGCUGAGUAUUAGGCAAAUCCGGUACUCGUUAAGGCUGAGCUGUGAUGGGGAGAAGACAUUGUGUCUUCGAGUCGUUGAUUUCACACUGCCGAGAAAAGCCUCUAGAUAGAAAAUAGGUGCCCGUACCGCAAACCGACACAGGUAGUCAAGAUGAGAAUUCUAAGGUGAGCGAGCGAACUCUCGUUAAGGAACUCGGCAAAAUGACCCCGUAACUUCGGGAGAAGGGGUGCUCUUUAGGGUUAACGCCCAGAAGAGCCGCAGUGAAUAGGCCCAAGCGACUGUUUAUCAAAAACACAGGUCUCUGCUAAACCGUAAGGUGAUGUAUAGGGGCUGACGCCUGCCCGGUGCUGGAAGGUUAAGAGGAGUGGUUAGCUUCUGCGAAGCUACGAAUCGAAGCCCCAGUAAACGGCGGCCGUAACUAUAACGGUCCUAAGGUAGCGAAAUUCCUUGUCGGGUAAGUUCCGACCCGCACGAAAGGCGUAACGAUUUGGGCACUGUCUCAACGAGAGACUCGGUGAAAUCAUAGUACCUGUGAAGAUGCAGGUUACCCGCGACAGGACGGAAAGACCCCGUGGAGCUUUACUGUAGCCUGAUAUUGAAAUUCGGCACAGCUUGUACAGGAUAGGUAGGAGCCUUUGAAACGUGAGCGCUAGCUUACGUGGAGGCGCUGGUGGGAUACUACCCUAGCUGUGUUGGCUUUCUAACCCGCACCACUUAUCGUGGUGGGAGACAGUGUCAGGCGGGCAGUUUGACUGGGGCGGUCGCCUCCUAAAAGGUAACGGAGGCGCUCAAAGGUUCCCUCAGAAUGGUUGGAAAUCAUUCAUAGAGUGUAAAGGCAUAAGGGAGCUUGACUGCGAGACCUACAAGUCGAGCAGGGUCGAAAGACGGACUUAGUGAUCCGGUGGUUCCGCAUGGAAGGGCCAUCGCUCAACGGAUAAAAGCUACCCCGGGGAUAACAGGCUUAUCUCCCCCAAGAGUUCACAUCGACGGGGAGGUUUGGCACCUCGAUGUCGGCUCAUCGCAUCCUGGGGCUGUAGUCGGUCCCAAGGGUUGGGCUGUUCGCCCAUUAAAGCGGUACGCGAGCUGGGUUCAGAACGUCGUGAGACAGUUCGGUCCCUAUCCGUCGUGGGCGUAGGAAAUUUGAGAGGAGCUGUCCUUAGUACGAGAGGACCGGGAUGGACAUACCUCUGGUGUACCAGUUGUCGUGCCAACGGCAUAGCUGGGUAGCUAUGUGUGGACGGGAUAAGUGCUGAAAGCAUCUAAGCAUGAAGCCCCCCUCAAGAUGAGAUUUCCCAACUUCGGUUAUAAGAUCCCUCAAAGAUGAUGAGGUUAAUAGGUUCGAGGUGGAAGCAUGGUGACAUGUGGAGCUGACGAAUACUAAUCGAUCGAAGACUUAAUCAA
rnacentral:rRNA from 1 species